rnacentral:rRNA from 1 species
AUUGAACGCUGGCGGCAGGCCUAACACAUGCAAGUCGAGCGAGCGGCGGACGGGUGAGUAAUGUCUGGGAAACUGCCUGAUGGAGGGGGAUAACUACUGGAAACGGUAGCUAAUACCGCAUACCAUCGGAUGUGCCCAGAGGGGAUUAGCUAGUAGGUGGGGUAACGGCUCACCUAGGCGACGCACCCUAGCUGGUCUGAGAGGCUGACCAGCCAAGCUGGAACGGAGACACGGUCCAGAAGCCUACGUGAGGUAGCAGUGGGGAAUAUUGCACAAUGGGCGCAAGCCUGAUGCAGCCAUGCCGCGUGUAUGAAGAAGGCCGUCGGGUUGUAAAGUACUUUCAGCGGGGAGGCGUUACCCGCAGAAGAAGCACCGGCUAACUCCGUGCCAGCAGCCGCGGUAAUUC